GGGAGACAGCCUGGAAAUAGAACAAGAGCUGCUCUAGCAGUUCAGAAUUGGAGUAAAUGCCAGCUUGCCAUCUAGAACAACAGCUACCACAGCUUCAAGCGUUGAGCAUUCAACAUCAGUCUUUAAGGGCAGCUCUGACCCCUGAUGCUCCCCUGACCAGCUGAGUAUUACAUUUCAGACCAAGCGAGGCUAGAUAAGGUACAGACAGGUAACCUUCCGCAUCACUUCUGUUCUCUUACAGGACAGCAAACCGCAGCAAAACAGCCUCAAACAAUGUGGUAACACAAAAACCUAUUAAUAUCUGCCUCUGAGCACUUCUCAGCAGGGCAGUGACGUUUCCUGAAAAUCAGUUCCCAGUCUCCAAAUCUCUGCUGUAUCUUACAGAUCAGAGACGCUACCGUAGCUUGUCACAGCCCUUCUGGCAUCACCACAAAGCAAGAUCACUGGGCUACAACUAAUUCCUCAAGAACAUUGCUUCAACCUAUUAUCUCUCAUGAGCGCUGGCAAGCUAGGAAAGCCUCCCAGUUACAAGCCCUUUGGUUUGCACAAGCACCCUCUUGUGGCACAGUCUUCCAAAGACUAGCUUAUUUGCGGGCUGAAAGAAUGCACUCAUCUUUGUUCUCUCCUGUAAAUUACAGAGGCCCAGAAACGAGACAAAAAACAGAGGUGACACUCAGAGAACUGUUACCCACCAGAAAGCCUUCAUCAAAAGCCACCUUGACACACUUCUGCUCACAUACACGUACAUAGGGAACACAACCAUCAGCUGAAGGAUUCUGACUAAACAAGGAACAGUAACAUUAUUUAUCUAGAGACUAAGCUGGGCAAGACUGACUAAGUUGAAUAGAACUACAGGCAACAAUCCUUCUGAGUUUCCCAAGUCACAAACCUUCAUCAACUCCAACACAAAGCUGUCUUUUCUAACCAGAUCUCAAGAAACAGACUCAAGUGAAGUGGUUUUGUUGGCAUCUCCACGCAACAACGGGAACAAGCAAUCUUACUUCCUGAAACAAAAGGCAGAGGAACAUCAAAAAGAUGGUUCUCAUAUUAGAGAAAAGAAGAGAGGGAGGACUACAGAACCAGAGGGGAGCUUGGGACAUGCUUUGGCAUAUACUUGAAAUGAUGAUAAUAAUCACUCUACGCUGGCCUGGAGCAAUGGGAUGCAGCAAAAGGGAAAUGAAUGAUUAAGAAACACACUUCAAUUAUUUUUCAAGGGAUGUGGUCAGAGCGAGGGAAACCUUGAGCUUCUUUGUGAUUUCAUUACCACGUAAACACCAAGCUUAAAAAAAAUAACAAUGAUGCCUAGCGACGUUUCUGUAGCUUAUUAAAAUACUCAUCAGUCUUCUGUUAUAUUCAGUAGAACCCAGUGUACGACUAGACACAGGAAAGACAUGUGGAAAAGUGAUGUAUAAAACGUGGCUAAGACCACGCUACUUCAAGUCAAGCCAAAGAGCUGGAAACAGGCAGUAACUCCACAGAGAGGCAAAGGAGGAGGCAAUUGUUAUGCAUUCCUCAUAGCUCAUCCAUUUAGAACACUGGGAGUUGGAAGGAACCCACAAGGAUCACAGAGUCCAACUCCUGGCUCUACGGGACUACCUAAAAUUCAAACCAUAUUUUUGAGAGCGUUGUCCAAACGCCGCUUCAACUACUGCUGUGGGGUUGGAUCGGUCUGCAUACCUCCAUCUGAAUAUUAAAGUGAGACAACACCAGUUUGGAAUUUAAGAGAUUCUUCCUUAUGGGGCAAAAGGGCUCACCAGAUGAGCACCUGAAUGCUUUCUGAGAAGCUCCACGCUGCACACUCAUUCUCUCUCAGCAAGGCCAGUGAAAACCAACUAAUUAGAUCAUCACGCCACUCCUACCACAGGAACUGCCUCUGUUUACUUCAGGCCAGUAGAAAUCCAUCCGUGAUUACAGCUCUGACAAUUGCUACUCUGGAACAAAACCACAGAGCCUUUACGCCGGACAAAGUUAAAAUGCUGUUGAUGAGCUCCUCUUCAUGAAUAGGCAUUUUAUUUACAGCACCAUUGCAAAUAGCACUUCCACCUGAUGUUUGCAGCUGCCUACUACUACGUUUUGUUCACUAAAGGAAGGAAGGCACACACAUGGCAAGCCAAGCCCCAAGUCAAUAAAUCUUCUGAUUUUUAGGGUGGUAGCAACAGGGCAGGGAACUUUGUCCAGCAACACCUCCAGCCUAACUGCUGCCAUGGAGAGCUAUUCCCUCUGCCUCACUAACACAAUGUGCUGUCAGCUACUGGUAACGAGUACUCAACCAUAACCUCAAUGAAGAUUAGAUACUGAGACUGAAUACUGCAGGGAGACUCCAUUUACUACCCCAUUCCUUAGCUUCAUCAAUUGAAGUCAUCAGAAUUUUCAAAGGCACCCUCAGGACAGUUUCCACAAAGCAUUAAACAACAUGAAAUAAACAUCUUGCCAAAUGAGUUGUUUUGCAGAACACAUUUAUCAAUUACAAUUUCCCGUGCAAGACUCAAGAAUGCCUUUAUUAAUUAUGUGAAGCUGCCAGGAAGUGUUCAGCCAACACUGCAGAAAACAUGGAUCUAGCUACUGAGAUCAAAUCCUGCUUGGUAAGCAGGCUCUCGCUGCAAGGAAAUAAAAAAGGCUGCAAUAUUUGAAAAA